UUUCUUCAGGGCAAGGUGCAACUCCUUACCGGCGGUAAAGUCCGCGAGCGGGUCCGAUGGACCGGCAGACAUGGUGCGAUUCCAUGACCGACAGUAAAGUCUGGAUGAGAGAAGA
rnacentral:ncRNA from 1 species